AAAAGGAGGAAUACCAGCUCCUGGAGACAGUAGUUCAAAAAAUUCAGCAAAGAGUCGUAGAAAAAGGGGGAAUAGUGCAAGAUCUGAGAUGACAAAAAAUUCCAGUGAUGAAGAUGAUGAGUCAGAAGAAGAGAAGGAAGAAGAAGAAGAAAAUGACAAGGAGAAUGAGAAUGGAACCACAGAAAAAUCUGAUGAUGAAGUGUCUGAGCAGCCAGAAAGUGAAGAUAUCAAUGACCCAACUGAUGAAUCUGAGGAAGAAAGACCCAGAGCAAGGUCAAAAAGUUCAUCAAGAAAGAAGGGAUCUGUAGGAAAAGCAAGAAACCAGAAAGUUACCGGUUCCAAUAAAUCUGAUUCAGCAAAAUCUACAACGAAGAAGUCAUCAGCAAGUCGUGCUAAGGUUGAUGACAGUGAUGCUAGUCCAAAGGUAUUCUCUAGGAAGAAGAACAGUGAGAAAGAGGGCAAGGCCUCAACUCCACCAAAAUCUGCUGCCAAGGAGAAGCCUGGGAAAAAGAUUGUAAAAGGGAAGGAGAAGACCAAGGAGGAGAAAACAAGGCCAAGUGAUGAUGAGCUCCGGGAAGCAAUAUGUGAAAUUCUUAAAGUAGUUGACUUUACUACGGCCACCUUCACCGACAUUCUGAAGCAGCUUGCUCGGCAAUUCAAGAUGGAUCUCACGACACAAAAGUCGUCGAUAAAACUUAUGAUCCAAGAAGAGCUCACGAAACUGGCAGACGAAGCAGAAGAUGAAGAAGAUGGCGGUGAAGGCGACGGUGACGCCAAGAAGGAAGGUAAACAGGCAGCAGCAGGUCAAGAGGUGGAAACUUGAGUCAAAGAGUUAGCACUGGGAUUUGUCUAACAUAUAUGAAAGCCCUCAAAAUCAGUCUCUGUUGUAAAGGUGGAUGUAAUUUAUUUGUUGGUAUCAUCAUGUUUACUGCUAAUGAAAGGUUAGUGUUUUAUUAGAAAACAAGAUUAGUUGUUACUUAUAGCUUUUGCAA
rnacentral:misc_RNA from 1 species